rnacentral:rRNA from 1 species
UCCUUUUGCAUAAUGGUCUACACAAGAGCGCCAGGGAAUUACGAGCGCAAGCUUAAAAUUCAAAGGAUUUGACGGUAUCCCACCCACCUAGAGGAGCCUGUUCUAUAAUCGAUAAUCCUCGAUACACCCGACCAUUUCUUGCUUUCUCAGCCUGUAUACCUCCGUCGUAAACCUACCAUUUGAGUGUAAUAAAGUAGGUUCAAGGAUCCCCCAUCAACACGUCAGGUCAAGGUGCAGCCAAUGUAAUGGAAAGUAAUGGGCUACAAUUUCUAUGAUAGAACAAACGAAAUACUGUAUGAAAAACAGUCAUGAAGGCGGAUUUAGUAGUAAAAGGGGAAUAGAGAGCCCCUUUUAACAAGGCCCUGGGAUGUGUACAAACCGCCCGUCACCCUCUUCGAUAGCAAAAUUUAAGUUUCUAACCCAUCAAUGCACUCUAGAAGAGGCAAGUCGUAACAUGGUAAGUGUACUGGAAAGUGCACUUGGUAAAC